UUAGAUCUGCUUCUUUGAUGUUGUCGACAAUGGUAGAUCGUUGGAAGAAUAUCACGAGCAACUUGUACGUCAUCAUUUUGGUGUUGCAUGCCACAAUGGUGAACACCUGCAUUCUCGUAUGCCACGUGGGUUUUCAUGUCAAACCACCAUCACCAUUGCCCCAAAGAGGCUAUGAUACGGUCAAACCAAGGGUCACAGAUCACACAC
rnacentral:lncRNA from 1 species